rnacentral:rRNA from 1 species
AAUUCCAGCUCCAAUAGCGUACGUUAAAGUUGCUGCAGUUAAAAAGCUCGUAGUUGAACGUUCGGGUUCCGCGGGACGGGGCCGCCCCCGCGAGGGACGGCGCCGCCCCGGGGCUCGUGAUAUCUCAUCUCGCCGCCCGUCGUCGAGGCGGACGGAGGGAUGGAUGAGGUUACCUGGAAAAAAUCGGGGCGAUCUAGGCGGGCGAACCUCGCCAACGAACGAUCGGACAUGGGAUAACGGAAGAGGGCGUCGGCUCGACUUCGUCGGUUCCUCGGGCCGAGGCACGUACGGUGAAUAGGGACGGUCGGGGCCGCCCGUACCGGGUCGUGAGAGGUGAAAUUCUAGGAUCGACCCGAGACGUAACCGCCGCGAAAGCAUUCGGCAAGGACGCUUUCAUUAAUCAAGAACGAAAGUCGGGGGAUCGAAGACGAUCAGAUACCGUCGUAGUCCCGACCGUAACGAUGCCGACCGA